AUUUGUCCACUGUUGUGCCGGAACAUCACUGUAUGAUGUCUAAAUUCUGGGAACAUCAAGAAGGGGACCUGAAACUUCAAUGUGAGCACCGGAGGCUUCAAAUAUAAGAAAAGAGGCUGUUCAUGAUUCCUACAACUCCUGAGAAGUAAAGGUCCAGUCUGGAUCUGGUCACUUCAUGGAGCAUGGAAAGGUGGUCUGACUUUGAGAAAGCAUCUGUAAUUCACAGAAAUAGCCUCUAGAGGUCCUCACUGGACUUCAACAGUCAUAUUCAGUCUGAGCUGGUGGUCUAACAGGUUUGCAAGACCGAAGGACCGCAUUGCUCCAUCAAGACAAGGAAACCUUCUUUACACAUCUCAUGACCAGAAACCUGAUUGACUCAUACAGCAUGUGAAUUUUUGAAAAAAAAACUUAAACAGAAACAAAAGGUGUCCUCAGUUCCACUGAUCAGUGAGAAAUCAUCUAACCACUCAGCACCUGGGUCACAUGGCUCGUUGGUCCAGAUUAUGUGAGCCUUUUACGUCACAUGCUUCAAGGUCCACUGCCUUGCAAAAGUAUUCAUAUCCCUUAAAGUAAAAACUUCAAUAUUCUUUAUUGCUUUAUUUAUUUAAUAGACCAACAAAAUAGAGGACUUAAUUGUAAUUUCUCAGUAAUUUCGCAGAAAAACUAUCUGAAAAGAGGGGCGUGCAUUUUGUAUUCAUGCCCCUUUACUCUGACAGCCAUAAAUAAAAUCCAAUUCAACAUUUUGGCCUGCAUGUAAAAUGUUAGGUUUGGCUGAAAAGCUACGCUGCACGUCCACAGUGAAUACACCUACAGACAUGAUGGUGGCAGCAUCAUGCUUGGGGGAUACUUUUUUUCAGAAGGGACAGGGAAGCUGGUCAGUACUGGAAGAAAACCUUUUCGAGGCUGCUAAAAACUUGAGACUGAGGCAGGGUUUUACUUUCCAGCAGGACAGCAAAGAAAACAUACAGCCAGAGCUACAAUGGAAUAGUUUAGAUCAAAACAUAUUCAAAAUACAGACCUAAAUCCAAUUGGAGGACAGCCUUCAAAUUGAUGUUUUCAAAUACUACGAUUGAGCUUGAACCUUUUUGCAAAGAAGAAACACACAGAGGAGUUGGCAAAUUUUUUUAUUGCUGCAGCCCACAUACUUAACUCUCCUGUUUAAUCCACAAAUUCAUUUUCCUUACAAAUGUAGCUCUAUUUAAAGGGAAAUAAACAGGCUUUUCAACUCUAUAAGACUGAUUACCAAGAAGCAUUGUUACAACAGGAAAUAAUCAACCAAACUGAGAUAUUCCAGCUACAAAUAAAAUGCACCCAUAAAAAUAGUUAAACGUUAUACAACUGUGGUGCCAGAAAGCCUGUUGUAGGAGAAUCCCUUAUCUCACCCAUCUUUUAAACACGCAUAUAAACAAAAGCACAUGCAAAAUCAUUGAAUUACGUUUUAUUUGAUGGGUUCCAGUGAGUCCUCGGCUCCUCUAAUUUCAGUUUUAAUGAAGUGAAGCCACAUCCGGACUGUGAUUUUAACCUCAUCUGAUCUUCCUCAUGCAAACACAUGAUCUUUGCAGAAGAAAUGCCUUUAGUGUGUCAGGUUUCCUUAUUCUUCACCAUAAUAGGCACAUUAUUAAUUCUGUAACUGUGCAAAAAAUCAGUUUCCCUUGUAGUAGAAUGCUCACAUAAACUACAGUUACCGCGUGCAAGGGCAAACCUUUGGGUUUCCCACUGGGGGGUUAUGCUCUUUGCCUGUUUAUUUAUUUAUUGAGUCAUUUACUUUUGUAAAAAGGAAUUAGGCAAUUGUGGCAUUCCUGUAUUAGAAAUACUUUGUAAUGCUUUUACUGUGAUUUACUUUACUUUCUUGGGGGGGCGGAAAGUAAAGUAAACUAUUAUCAAAAUCAGAAUCCAGCUUUAUUGCCAAGUUUGUACAGACAAACAAGGAAUUUGACUCUGGUCCACUUUGCUCUCAGUAAGAAUUUUUUUUUUGUUGGUAUAAUUAUUAGUGGAAAUAAAGAAUGUAUAUAUAUAUAUAUACAAUUGACCUUACAAAAGAAUAUAAUAUGAGAUCAGUCCAAGUAUGCAUGGUGUUGUUCUGACUGUUAAUAAAAGACUUACUUUUUCUUUAUCUUUUUUCUAACACAUAACCAAACAUUUUACGUUUUUAGAGCACCUUCAAAUUCAUCAGUGCUGCAUCAUGGUGUAUCUGAGGGUUUGGCAUGGACUCAUUGUAUUUCAAUUCAUUUCAAUGAGGAAAAUUGAUUCCAUGUAUGAAUAAUUCCAGUUGAGAGCUCUAUCACAAAAUGAAUCAAAUUAUAAAGUAGAGGUGC